rnacentral:tRNA from 1 species
GCGAAGGUGGUGGAAUUGGUAGACACGCUAGGUUGAGGGCCUAGUGCUCGUUUUAGAGCGUGAGGGUUCAAGUCCCUCUCUUCGCACCA